CCCUGGACUUAGAGCCUAUACUGUAGACAGGAACGGCAAGUAUGAGCCCCUUCAUGUAGACUCAAACGAUUUUCUCACAGGACAUUUACAAGAGAAUGAAUCUAUACAUGUGUCUGCUCAUUAUGAGGAGGACGUUCUCUGCACAACAGUUUAUUUCCCAAAUGAAAUUUACUUUACUGAGCCGUCGUGGAGACACCUCCCUUCAUCAAGUGGGUGGGAUCUGAUUAGUUACAGGCUUUCUGAUGUCAACUGGAAUCAUACGGGUCCUUUUUCCGAUCCACUAACAUUACUCCAACGACCGUCUUCAGACGAGUCAGUUUCAAGCGACGAGCAGCAUCAGAGAU